CAUCAAGGGACAGCAGGCAGUGUUCCCUGCCACUGGUUCCCAUUUGCCUGGUGAUGGGAGAGUCCAGCCUCACUCUGCUUCUAGGAACUCAGGGUAGCCCUGUGACCUCAGCUCUCUUUGGCCUCUGUAUAUUUUCAUUUCCCAACACUUGGCAACACCCUGAAACUCCAUCUGCACAUGCCUGUGUUUGGAUGAUGAGGGUAAGGAUAGUUCACACGGUGCUGUGUUCAAUGGCUAUGAGCUGCAAGCAGUCCAUCUUUGCUAGAGCCUUGAAGGUCAAAUUGACACCAGAAUCUCAAAUACACUCAGAAAUAAAUGCCUAUACAUUUGUCAGUUGAUGACCGGCUCUGCCGGACCAAAUGCCUUUUCAGCUAUAAUUCCACAGGUGCUUCAGAGCACUAUCCCAGCAUGGCCUUGUCCUGGACUGCAUGGGGUUCAUUCUUCAUCCUCAAUGGUCAGGAGCCACUUCCAACAGGUGCCCAGGGAGGACAAAGGAUCCAGUUUUUAUUGAAGCAGGUCUGCCCAGCCUCUGCCUGCCUGCAGGAACUUAGAGACACACUAGCACUCUAUGGACGAGCAAAGACCAAAGUCAGGAGCAGAUCUUCAUCAAAUGGUGAGGAUUCCAUCUCAUCAGCCAGAGCAGUCAUCAACGAAGCCAAGGACAGCUCUCACAAGUUGUCCUUGAACCUCCACACACG
rnacentral:lncRNA from 1 species